AUUAGGGCUUUUCCAUCUUACCGAUUCGAUCGAAAUCGCUUAGAAUUCGCAUUGUUCGUUUCCAGAGAUGUGGCACGAGGCGAGGAGAUCCGAGAGGAAGGUCCAUGACAUGAUGGACGCUGCUCGAAAGCGAGCUCAAAGACGCGCUGUUUUUCUCGCCAAGCGUCGUGGCGAUCCUCAGCAAUCCAUCCAGGUCGUUGGAACUCGGUGCCGCGUCUACCGUGACGAUGGUCUCUAUCAAGCAACUGAGGACCAGCAAGGAUUGAUUCCUUGGAAUGGAAAGCAGGAUGUGAUGAUUGAUAGAUUUGAUGGACGUGCCCUGCUUGAUUUCAUCCGAGAACCUGGAUCCCGACAUAUUCGAACACAAGAAAAAUCUGAGGAAGAAGAGGAGUUAGAAGAGUUUGUUAAUUUUCAGCGUUAUCGAGAUUUAAUUAAGCAUCGGCGUCGAGGAUUUAAUGAUGAGGAUGGUUUACAACACGUAAAUCAAGAAAUGGAGGCCAAGGUGUCUGCUCCAUUUGUAUCUGAUAGAUCUCAGCAACCACAGCCUCCUUCUGCAAGCAAGGGAUCAUAUUCGCAAGUGGGGUUUUCUUAUGAGGCGGAUGGGAAGGAGGAAUCAAAUUCAGAUGCUGAUGAUAAUGCUAGUGAAGAUGAAGAUGAUGAGGAUGAUGAG
rnacentral:misc_RNA from 1 species